UGGGGAAUAUUGCACAAUGGGCGCAAGCCUGAUGCAGCAACGCCGCGUGAACGAAGAAGGUCUUCGGAUUGUAAAGUUCUGUCCUUAGGGAAGAAGGAAGUGACGGUACCUAAGGAGGAAGCCCCGGCUAACUACGUGCC
rnacentral:rRNA from 1 species